rnacentral:lncRNA from 1 species
AGAGAGGAGGAGACAUACUGGAGCUGAAGAGGAGAAGAGAGGGGGAGACAUACUGGAGCUGAAGAGGAGAAGAGAGGGGGGAGACAUACUGGAGCUGAAGAGGAGAAGAGAGGGGGAGACAUACUGGAGCUGAAGAGGAGAAGAGAGGAGGAGACAUACUGGAGCUGAAGAGGAGAAGAGAGGAGGAGACAUACUGGAGCUGAAGAGGAGAAGAGAGGAGGAGACAUACUGGAGCUGAAGAGGAGAAGAGAGGAGGAGACAUACUGGAGCUGAAGAGGAGAAGAGAGGAGGAGACAUACUGGAGCUGAAGAGGAGAAGAGAGGAGGAGACAUACUGGAGCUGAAGAGGAGAAGAGAGGGGGAGACAUACUGGAGCUGAAGAGGAGAAGAGAGGGGGAGACAUACUGGAGCUGAAGAGGAGAAGAGAGGGGGAGACAUACUGGAGCUGAAGAGGAGAAGAGAGGAGGAGACAUACUGGAGCUGAAGAGGAGAAGAGAGGAGGAGACAUACUGGAGCUGAAGAGGAGAAGAGAGGGGGAGACAUACUGGAGCUGAAGAGGAGAAGAGAGAAGGAGACAUACUGGAGCUGAAGAGGAGAAGAGAGGAGGAGACAUACUGGAGCUGAAGAGGAGAAGAGAGGAGGAGACAUACUGGAGCUGAAGAGGAGAAGAGAGGGGAGACAUACUGGAGCUGAAGAGGAGAAGAGAGGGGGAGACAUACUGGAGCUGAAGAGGAGAAGAGAGGGGGAGACAUACUGGAGCUGAAGAGGAGAAGAGAGGGGAGACAUACUGGAGCUGAAGAGGAGAAGAGAGGGGAGACAUACUGGAGCUGAAGAGGAGAAGAGAGGAGGAGACAUACUGGAGCUGAAGAGGAGAAGAGAGGAGGAGACAUACUGGAGCUGAAGAGGAGAAGAGAGGAGGAGACAUACUGGAGCUGAAGAGGAGAAGAGAGGAGGAGACAUACUGGAGCUGAAGAGGAGAAGAGAGGGGGAGACAUACUGGAGCUGAAGAGGAGAAGAGAGGAGGAGACAUACUGGAGCUGAAGAGGAGAAGAGAGGGGGAGACAUACUGAAGAGGAGACAUACUGGAGCUGAAGAGGAGAAGAGAGGGGGAGACAUACUGGAGCUGAAGAGGAGAAGAGAGGGGGAGACAUACUGGAGCUGAAGAGGAGAAGAGAGGAGGAGACAUACUGG